rnacentral:rRNA from 1 species
GGUUAAGCGACUAAGCGUACACGGUGGAUGCCUAGGCAAUCAGAGGCGAUGAAGGACGUGCUAAUCUGCGAUAAGCGUCGGUAAGGUGAUAUGAACCGUUACAACCGACGAUUUCCGAAUGGGGAAACCCAGUGCAAUUCGUUGCACUAUCGUUUGAUGAAUACAUAGUCAAACGAAGCGAACCGGGGGAACUGAAACAUCUCAGUACCCCGAGG